UGGGGAAUUUUGGACAAUGGGCGCAAGCCUGAUCCAGCCAUGCCGCGUGCGGGAAGAAGGCCUUCGGGUUGUAAACCGCUUUUGUCAGGGAAGAAACGAGUUCCUCUAAUACAGAGACUUAAUGACGGUACCUGAAGAAUAAGCACCGGCUAACUACGUGCCAGCAGCCGCGGUAAUACGUAGGGUGCAAGCGUUAAUCGGAAUUACUGGGCGUAAAGCGUGCGCAGGCGGUUAUGCAAGACAGAUGUGAAAUCCCCGGGCUCAACCUGGGAACUGCAUUUGUGACUGCAUAGCUGGAGCGCGGCAGAGGGGGAUGGAAUUCCGCGUGUAGCAGUGAAAUGCGUUGAUAUGCGGAGGAACACCGAUGGCGAAGGCAAUCCCCUGGGCCUGCACUGACGCUCAUGCACGAAAGCGUGGGGAGCAAACA
rnacentral:rRNA from 1 species